GGCUCCGACGAAUCCAACUCUGAUCGGGUUAUUGGAUUUGGUUCUACCCGAUAGCCAGCAAGCUAAUUAUUUUCUAAUUAAUUAAUCCAGUCUGUUUGUUACGUGGAUGUUCCAACAACCAACACCUAUCGCCAUGAAUCCAGCAAUUUGGUUGGGCUUGCUGCCUACCCUUCGCUCUAUAUAAGGCCAGGCACUAGAGGGGAGGGUGCGAGGGCGGCCAGGCGGAGUGCAGAGGCGCAGAGCAGAAGAUUGCAUGGACGCAGAUUGAGCAGCUCCUCUUAAUCUAUCAGCACGAGUACUGCUUUUGCUACAGGAUGCAACUUUCUAUCUGCUCCAAUACCGAAAAAGAUGAAGAUGAAUUUUAUGAACGCAAGGAGUUAGGCCCGGAGUAUAUAGUAUGGAGUUUACAGAAUGUUGCAUCAACAACAACACAAGGAUGGAGUAUAUAGAAUGUUGUAUGAACAACAGAAGUAUGAAGUAUGUAGUACCAUGCAUUUAGUAUGAAGAAUAUAAUCAGCAAAAAAAAAAAGUAUGAAGAAUGUAGAAGGUAGUAUGGAGUAUAUUCACAAGCAGUAUAUAGAAGGAAGUAUGUAGUAUAUAGAAGGUACUGUAGGACAUAUAUUAGAAUGUACUCAUGUAUGGAGAGUAUAUAUAAACAAAGAAGUAGUAGUAUGGAGUAUAUAUCCAAGAAAAGUAGUAAAUAGUAUAUAGUACAUCAAUACAAAAUAAUUUUCCUAUGCA